GGAAGUAAAAGUUGUAACAAGGUUUCCGUAGGUGAACCUGCGGAAGGAUCAUUAUUGUAUAACCGAGGUGCGUGGGCUGUCGCUGACCCGAAAGGUCGUGCACGCCCGAGUGCCCUCACACACAUCCAUCUCACCCCUAUGUGCACCACCGCGUGGGUCCCCCUUUGGCUUGUUCGGAGGGGGGCUUACGUUUUCACACAAACUUUGUAUGCAGUGUAGAAUGUAUUUUUUGUUUUUGCGAUCACGCAAUCAAUACAACUUUCAACAACGGAUCUCUUGGCUCUC
rnacentral:misc_RNA from 1 species